UACGAAGGGGGCUAGCGUUGCUCGGAAUCACUGGGCGUAAAGGGUGCGUAGGCGGGUUUUUAAGUCAGAGGUGAAAUCCUGGAGCUCAACUCCAGAACUGCCUUUGAUACUGAAGAUCUUGAGUCCGGGAGAGGUGAGUGGAACUGCGAGUGUAGAGGUGAAAUUCGUAGAUAUUCGCAAGAACACCAGUGGCGAAGGCGGCUCACUGGCCCGGUACUGACGCUGAGGCACGAAAGCGUGGGGAGCAAACAGG
rnacentral:rRNA from 1 species